UGGGGAAUAUUGGACAAUGGGGGCAACCCUGAUCCAGCGAUGCCGCGUGUGUGAAGAAGGCCUGAGGGUUGUAAAGCUCUUUCGGCGGGGACGAAACGGUUCGUGACAACACCACGGACUAAUGACGGUACCCGCAUAAGAAGCACCGGCUAACUACGUGCCAGCAGCCGCGGUAAUACGUAGGGUGCAGGCGUUAAUCGGAAUUACUGGGCGUAAAGCGUGCGCAGGCGGUUUGUUAAGACAGGUGUGAAAUCCCCGGGCUUAACCUGGGAAUUGCGCUUGUAACUGGCAGGCUAGAGUGUGGCAGAGGGGGGUGGAAUUCCACGUGUAGCAGUGAAAUGCGUAGAUAUGUGGAGGAACACCGAUGGCGAAGGCAGCCCCCUGGGUUAACACUGACGCUCAUGCACGAAAGCGUGGGGAGCAAACAGGAUUAGAUACCCCAGUAGUCCCUGAGCGGGCUGGCAAGGCGCAU
rnacentral:rRNA from 1 species